rnacentral:rRNA from 1 species
GACGUAGGGCGCGAGCGUUGUCCGGAUUUACUGGGCGUAAAGGGCGCGUAGGCGGCUUAACAAGUCACUUGUGAAAUCUCCGGGCUUAACUCGGAACGGCCAAGUGAAACUGUCAAGCUAGAGUGCAGAAGGGGCAAUCGGAAUUCUUGGUGUAGCGGUGAAAUGCGUAGAUAUCAAGAGGAACACCUGAGGUGAAGACGGGUUGCUGGGCUGACACUGACGCUGAGGCGCGAAAGCCAGGGGAGCAAACGGG